GACGAACGCUGGCGGCGUGCUUAACACAUGCAAGUCGAACGGAAAGGCCCUGCUUUUGUGGGGUGCUCGAGUGGCGAACGGGUGAGUAACACGUGAGUAACCUGCCCUUGACUUUGGGAUAACUUCAGGAAACUGGGGCUAAUACCGGAUAGGAGCUCCUGCUGCAUGGUGGGGGUUGGAAAGUUUCGGCGGUUGGGGAUGGACUCGCGGCUUAUCAGCUUGUUGGUGGGGUAGCGGCUUACCAAGGCUUUGACGGGUAGCCGGCCUGAGAGGGUGACCGGCCACAUUGGGUCUGAGAUACGGCCCAGACUCCUACGGGAGGCAGCGGUGGGGAAUAUUGCACAAUGGGCGGAAGCCUGAUGCAGCAACGCCGCGUGCGGGAUGACGGCCUUCGGGUUGUAAACCGCUUUCGCCUGUGACGAAGCGUGAGUGACGGUAAUGGGUAAAGAAGCACCGGCUAACUACGUG
rnacentral:rRNA from 1 species